AGCCUGUUACUACAGGUUAGUGGGGUCUAUUCAGUAGCCUGUUACUACAGGUUAGUGGGGUCUAUUCAGUAGCCUGUUACUACAGGUUAGUGGGGUCUAUUCAGUAGCCUGUUACUACAGGUUAGUGGGGUCUAUUCAGUAGCCUGUUACUACAGGUUAGUGGGGUCUAUUCAGUAGCCUGUUACUACAGGUUAGUGGGGUCUAUUCAGUAGCCUGUUACUACAGGUUAGUGGGGUCUAUUCAGUAGCCUGUUACUACAGGUUAGUGGGGUCUAUUCAGUAGCCUGUUACUACAGGUUAGUGGGGUCUAUUCAGUAGCCUGUUACUACAGGUUAGUGGGGUCUAUUCAGUAGCCUGUUACUACAGGUUAGUGGGGUCUAUUCAGUAGCCUGUUACUACAGGUUAGUGGGGUCUAUUCAGUAGCCUGUUACUACAGGUUAGUGGGGUCUAUUCAGUAGCCUGUUACUACAGGUUAGUGGGGUCUAUUCAGUAGCCACCCUGUCUGUUACUACAGGUUAGUGGGGUCUAUUCAGUAGCCUGUUACUACAGGUUAGUGGGGGUCUAUUCAGUAGCCUGUUACUACAGGUUAGUGGGGG